rnacentral:rRNA from 1 species
UCAACGCUGGCGGCGUGCCUAACACAUGCAAGUCGAACGAGAAAGUACUCUUCGGAGUGCGAGUAAAGUGGCGAACGGGUGAGUAACGCGUGGGUGAUCUGCCCUUUGGCGGGGGAUAACCCGGGGAAACCCGGGCUAAUACCGCAUAAGCCUGCAUUUGUAAGCGAGUGCAGGGAAAGUUUUCGGAUACCGAAGGAGGAGCCCGCGUCCGAUUAGCUAGUUGGUGAGGUAAGAGCUCACCAAGGCAACGAUCGGUAGCCGGUCUGAGAGGACGGACGGUCACACUGGGACUGAGACACGGCGCAGAGUACUACGGGAGGCAGCAGUGGGGAAUUUUGGGCAAUGGGCGCAAGCCUGACCCAGCAACGCCGCGUGGAGGAUGAAGGUUUUCGGAUCGUAAACUCCUGUCUAGAGGGACGAAGAAAGUGACGGUACCUCUGGAGGAAGCCCCGGCUAACUCC